rnacentral:rRNA from 1 species
GACGAACGCUGGCGGCGUGCCCAAUACAUGCAAGUUGAGCGCUGAAGGUUGGUACUUGUACCGACUGGAUGAGCAGCGAACGGGUGAGUAACGCGUGGGGAAUCUGCCUUUGAGCGGGGGACAACAUUUGGAAACGAAUGCUAAUACCGCAUAAAAACUUUAAACACAAGUUUUAAGUUUGAAAGAUGCAAUUGCAUCACUCAAAGAUGAUCCCGCGUUGUAUUAGCUAGUUGGUGAGGUAAAGGCUCACCAAGGCGAUGAUACAUAGCCGACCUGAGAGGGUGAUCGGCCACAUUGGGACUGAGACACGGCCCAAACUCCUACGGGAGGCAGCAGUAGGGAAUCUUCGGCAAUGGACGAAAGUCUGACCGAGCAACGCCGCGGGAGUGAAGAAGGGUGUCGGAUCGUAAAACUCGGUUGGUAGAGAAGAACGUUGGUGAGAGUGGAAAGCUCAUCAAGUGACGGUAACUACCCAGAAAGGGACGGCUAACUACGUG